rnacentral:rRNA from 1 species
UGCAAGUCGAACGAAGUAGCAAUACUUAGUGGCAGACGGGUGAGUAACAUGUGGGUAUCUACCCUUUGGCCUGGAAUAACACGAGGAAACUUGUGCUAAUACCGGAUAAGUCUUUACGGAGAAAGCUUUAUGCACCAUUGGAUGAGCCCGCACUUGAUUAGUUUGUUGGUAGGGUAAUGGCCUACCAAGACUAUGAUCAAUAGCUGAUUUGAGAGGAUGAUCAGCCACAUUGGGACUGAGACACGGCCCAAACUCCUACGGGAGGCAGCAGUGGGGAAUCUCGCACAAUGGAGGAAACUCUGAUGCAGCGAUGCCGCGUGAGUGAAGAAGGCCUUUGGGUUGUAAAGCUCUUUCGUCGGGGAAGAAAAUGACUGUACCCGAAUAAGAAGGUCCGGCUAACUUCGUGCCAGCAGCCGCGGUAAUACGAAGGGACCUAGCGUAGUUCGGAAUUACUGGGCUUAAAGAGUUCGUAGGUGGUUGAAAGAGUUGGUGGUGAAAUCCCAGAGCUUAACUCUGGAACUGCCAUCAAAACUUUUCAGCUAGAGUAUGAUAGAGGAAAGCAGAAUUUCUAGUGUAGAGGUGAAAUUCGUAGAUAUUAGAAAGAAUACCAAUUGCGAA